rnacentral:lncRNA from 1 species
UUUUUUGUAGCCCAGAGGUCCUUUAUUUUUUUUUUUUAACACCUAUUAUGCCAUGAAUUCAUAGGGAAUAGGUUCCAGCAGCUCAGGCUCCUUCCCAUUGGUUCUCACAAAGUGUGCUUCUCUGGGUGGAGUAGGCUGGCGCUUUAGUUGAACCCAGGUACCUUUCUCUUUGGCUUCUUUCUUUUUCUGAUCAUUUUCCUUCACACGUUUCAGGAAGCUAUCUCGGCUCUUAGAGUGCUUAAUGUGCUCAAUACGCACAUUAAUUCUCUUGGCAAGAAUCUUGCCCUUAACUUGUUUGUUUACAACAAUGCCAACAGCAUGCUGGGUAACAUUGUAGACUCUUCCAGUUUUGCCAUGGUAACACUUGUGGGGCAUUCCUUUUUGAACAGUACCCAUUCCCUUGAUGUCUACAAUAUCACCUUUCUUAUAGAUUCGCAUAUAUGUGGCCAAAGGAACAACUCCAUGUUUUCUAAAAGGCCUAGAGAACAUAUAUCGGGUGCCUCUCCUCUUUCCCUUUGUGUUCGUCAUUUUGGCGAAUUACUGGAAGAUGGCGGUUCCGGCCGAAAGGGCAAGAUGCAUAUUGGAUAUCUAAAUAGAGAUAUCAAGAAAUGAAGAUAUGCAUUUCCAGUUCCAGAGAGAAAUUCACACUGGAAAUAUAAAUUUAGGAAUUUUAAAGUUAGUGGUCACAUUUAAAGCUGCAGAAUACAAAGAGAUCACCUGUGUGAGAGAACUGAGUCCUGAAACAUACCCGUGUUUAAAGAUCUGGGAGGUGCAGAGGAAUUAUCAAAGGAGGCUGAGAAGGAGCAGCCAGUGAGAUAAGCAAAAAGAAAAGCAAGAGAUAUGGAACUGAACUUCCCUUUGGCAAAAAAUUUAGAAAAUGAUAAUGAGACUCCGCUUUCUGUCUCUCUGAAGAUAACGUUAAGCUGCAGCUCCGUAUCUGUGAAAACCCAUUUCACAGCAUCUGCAUCCCUGGAUUGCUAAAUACCCUUGUCUAGUUACCCAAAUAUUAAUGGAUCCCAUGGAAUAAGGUGGCAUGAUUUAGGCACAAGCAAUUACCAAAGGAUUUUGAAAAGCAGUAACUCCAAAUUAUCUUGUAAAGUUGAGAAUAAUCUGAGAAGAGCUAUUGUAAGACUGGGAAUCAAGUAACAAAAUAAAGAUAUGAACCGUC